rnacentral:rRNA from 1 species
AGGGGCAGCGGGGUUGUAGCAAUACAACUGCCGGCGACCGGCGCACGGGUGAGUAACACGUAUGUAACCUGCCCUCUGCAGGGGGAUAAGCGGAAGAAAUUCCGUCUAAUACCGCAUAAUACAAUUUGGAGACAUCUCCGGGUUGUCAAAGGAGUGAUCCGGCAGAGGAUGGACAUGCGGCGCAUUAGCUAGUCGGCGGGGUAACGGCCCACCGAGGCUACGAUGCGUAGGGGUUCUGAGAGGAAGGUCCCCCACACUGGUACUGAGACACGGACCAGACUCCUACGGGAGGCAGCAGUGAGGAAUAUUGGUCAAUGAGCGGAAGCCUGAACCAGCCAAGUCGCGUGAGGGAAGACGGUCCUAUGGAUUGUAAACCUCUUUUGCAGGGGAGCAAGGCGCGGUACGUGUACCGCGAAGGAGAGUACCCUGAGAAAAAGCAUCGGCUAACUCCGUGCCAGCAGCCGCGGUAAUACGGAGGAUGCGAGCGUUAUCCGGAUUUAUUGGGUUUAAAGGGUGCGCAGGCGGACUGUUAAGUCAGCGGUAAAAUGUCGGUGCUCAACACCGGCCGGCCGUUGAAACUGGCAGCCUUGAGUGAGCGAGAAGUAUGCAGAAUGCGUGGUGUAGCGGUGAAAUGCAUAGA